rnacentral:RNase_P_RNA from 1 species
GCGGCCGCAAGGCUGAGGAAAGUCCGGACUCCACAGGGCGGAGGGCGAGGCUGUAAUGGCCUCGGGAACCGGGGCAAACCCGGUUGACGGAAAGUGCCGCAGAGAUCAGACAGCCGGUUCGCGAGAUCCGGCGAUAGGUGAAAGGGGUGGGGCAAGAGCCCACCGGGGUCGCCCGCGAGGGAGGCCCGCAACAGGCAAACCCUCCUCGGAGCAAGAUCAAAUAGGGGGUCGACGGGCUGCCCGUCCGGCGCCGGACCGCAAGGAACGGCUUGAGACCCCGGGUUGAUUGCGCAGAUGAAUGACCGGUUAGAACAGAAUCCGGCUUACUC